UUGGGUGAUGGCAGGUGUGACUCCCCUGGGCACUCUGCUAAGUACCUCACAUACAGCUUUAUGGAUGCAGCAUCACAGAAGAUCAUCAACUCUGUGCAAAUUCAGGUCGGGGAGUCAGAAGAUAUUAGAUCCAGCAGCCACAUGGAAAAGGCCGGGUUCAUAAGGUGCCUGGACGAAGUGAAGUGCAAGGGCAUUACAGUUGCAUCUAUCACUACUGAUCGCCAUCCUUCUGUCCGAAAGCACAUGCGUGAGAAUGAGCCAACCAUUGUCCAUGGAUUUGACAUCUGGCAUGUUGUAAAAGGGAUGAAGAAAAAGCUUGAAGCUGCAGCCAAUUCCCGUGCAUGUGCUGCCCUAAAACCAUGGGUGCAGCAUAUUUGUAACCACCUUUACUGGUGUAGUGGCAACUCUGAGGGGAAUACAGAGUUUCUGCUUAGCAUGUG